GUGUGUGAUUGUGUGUGUAUCUCUGUAGUUAAGUGUGUGUGUGUGUUUAUAUAUACACACACACACACUUAACUACAGAGAUACACACACACA